rnacentral:rRNA from 1 species
UACGUAGGGGGCAAGCGUUGUCCGGAAUCAUUGGGCGUAAAGAGCGUGUAGGCGGCCCGGUCAGUCCGCCGUGAAAGUCCAGGGCUCAACCCUGGAAUGCCGGUGGAUACUGCCGGGCUGGAGUCCGGAAGAGGCGAGUGGAAUUCCUGGUGUAGCGGUGAAAUGCGCAGAUAUCAGGAGGAACACCAAUGGCGAAGGCAGCUCGCUGGAACGGUACUGACGCUGAGACGCGAAAGCGUGGGGAGCAAACAGG